GUUGAACGCUGGCGGCAGGCCUAACACAUGCAAGUCGAACGAGUGGCGGACUGGUGAGUAAUGUCUUAGAACCUGCCCGAUGUAGGGGGCUAACUACUGUAAACGGUGGCUACUAGCGCAUACCGUCGGAUGUGCCCAUAUGUGAUUAGCUAGUAGGUGGGGUAACGGCUCACCUAGGCGACGAUCCCUAGCUGGUCUGCGAGGAUAACCAUCCCCCCUGGAACUGAGAAACGGCCCAGAAUCCACCCAGAACCACAAUUAUAUAAUAUUCAACAAUGUACGAAAGCCUGAUCGAGCAACGCCGCGUGAAUGAAGAAUUUUUUCGGGUUUUAACGUACUUUUAUCGAGGAGGCGUUAUUCGCAGAAGAAGCACCGGCUAACUACGUGCCAGCAGCCGCGGUAAUUC
rnacentral:rRNA from 1 species